AACAGAGUUGCAACAGGCAAACUAUAUUGAACAAACCAUAGAGAUUACAGCCUCCUAAAAUUUUCAUGGAGGAACUUCUCUAUAUUAUCUUUACCCAAACCAAGUUGCCCAUCUAUGAUCUUCCUAGAUUGGUACACUGGCAAUGUUCUUUGUGUCACUGUCCAGGGCAGCUGGCUCCUUCAUAUAUCACUCCACGGGAUCAGAUUCCUUACACUUUUAAAAGCGACUCGAUUUUAGUUGGACCGUGGCCAGGCCUAGAAGCAGCCAUGCUCCAAAAACCAAACUUUGUCUUCUUAUCAACAGGUUUCAAUAUUUGGAAUGAACACAAUAAAUUCUCAUCCACACUCAUCAUGGCACCAGCGUUGUCAAAUUCUCCACAAUAAUUAGGAGCUGAAAAUAUUGUUACAAGUCGUCUAUUUGCAAAAAACUCAUAUCCAUUUUCCACAACCUGAUGGGCUCGACAUAUCAAAUCAAGAUCAUGCUUCUGCAGAAACUCUAUCACUCUAUCAGCACCAAAUGUAUAUGAAACACCCCUUUCAUUUAUCCCCCAACCUUGAAUGUCUUGACUAGGAUCGGACCAGAGGAGAUCACAUAACAAACCAGACUCUGGAACAACAGUUGGUCGUUGUAUAUUUCUUAUCUGAUCCAAAUUGCACAGUUCAGGAGAAAGUCCACCAUGCAUACAGAGAAUCUUUUCAUCAAUGAGAGCUGCCACAGGCAAGCAGUUGAAACAAUCUGUAAAUAUUUUCCAGAGUCUGACAUUAAAUCUUCUUUUGCACUCAUCAUAAAAUCCAUAUAUACG
rnacentral:misc_RNA from 1 species